AUAAAGUAUUAUUUCAUUGUACGAUGGUAAGGAACCCUUCGUGUCCGAGUCCAACUCGAACUUGACCAGGGUUCCUAUACAUA